rnacentral:rRNA from 1 species
UGGCGGACGGGUGAGUAAUGUCUGGGAAACUGCCUGAUGAGGGGGAUAACUACUGGAAACGGUAGCUAAUACCGCAUAACGUCGCAAGACCAAAGAGGGGGACCUUCGGGCCUCUUGCCAUCGGAUGUGCCCAGAUGGGAUUAGCUAGUAGGUGGGGUAACGGCUCACCUAGGCGACGAUCCCUAGCUGGUCUGAGAGGAUGACCAGCCACACUGGAACUGAGCACGGUCCAG